UUACAAACAUAGAAUAUACUUAAGUUAAUUAAUACUAUAAAUUUACUUUAUAAACAAUGGUAAAAAGAUUUAGCUACUUCACAGUGUCUUAGAAUAAAAAUAGUGUUGUUUAUUAAGUUAUAUCCAAUGGCCAAUUUUGAAUAUUUGUAAUCUACAAAGAGUUUAUAUCGGAGGUUGAUUAUUGAACGUCAAUUAUAAAAGGAUUAAAUGUAAAUUAUCACUAUUCAUGUUCCAAGACAAAAGUUCCUUUUGAACUAAGCGAUCUUUCAUUCCAGGAUAACUAUUUAUAAUGCUACAAGCAGCUAUUAAAUGAUUAAAUCAGAGUUGACUCGGCUACAUUAUUUAUUUAAAGAAAUUGUCCAUGAUAUUGGAUUACAUGAAAAUUUGUACCAGAAAAAUAAAUUACAAGAAUACCAAAAAAUAAUGUUAAAUUAAUUUAACUCGUAUUCAUUGUAGAAGAUUAAUUGCACCCUAGUCACAUACGUAUCGAUGAUUCCAUAGAGUUUUUAUCAUCAGUACUUAUCUGUGUAAUAAUUAUUAAUGCACACCAGUAUUAUAAAAGUGAAGAUUUACAUUUAGUACAAUAUGUUUGUUCAGUGAUAGAUUCAUAAUGUGUUAGCAAAUUUUCAAUCAGUGUACUGACAUCGUCUACACAGUCAAUAGUAUAAUCUCUUCCAGGGUACAUUUUCCAUAAGAUAUGAAGUCUUUUACUGUAAAAUUCCGCGGUGGCACCAGAUUCAGCAUAAUAUUGUAAGAUUUCUAAAAAUUCAGAUUUACUUUUUUGAUCGUCAACAAAAUUUCGAAAACUUUGAAAAUUUAAAUAUGUAAAAGAUAAAAGUUCAGUGAUACUAUCGAA